AAAUGAAAGAAGCAUAAUAAUGUGAACAAAAAUUCAUUUGGAUUUUUAGGCCUAACCCCUCUGAUGCCUUUCGGCUUUGAUUUGGGGGCAUAGUUCUGUAGUCAUACGU